UACAGAGGGGGCAAGCGUUGUUCGGAAUUACUGGGCGUAAAGGGCGCGUAGGCGGCCCGCUAAGUCGAACGUGAAAUCCCCGGGCUCAACCCGGGAACUGCGUCCGAUACUGGCAGGCUUGAAUCCGGGAGAGGGAUGCGGAAUUCCAGGUGUAGCGGUGAAAUGCGUAGAUAUCUGGAGGAACACCGGUGGCGAAGGCGGUUCUCUGGGCCUGACCUGACGCUGAGGAGCGAAAGCGUGGGGAGCGAACAGG
rnacentral:rRNA from 1 species